CCCUUAGAUGUUCUGGGCUGCACGCGCGCUACACUGACACACUCAGCGAGUCUCCUGGCCCGAGAGGGUUGGGUAAUCAUGUGAGCGUGUGUCGUGAUGGGGAUAGAAUAUUGUAAUUAUUGCUCUUCAACGAGGAAUUCCUAGUAAGCGCGAGUCAGCAGCUCGCGCUGAUUACGUCCCUGCCCUUUGUACACACCGCCCGUCGCUCCUACCGAUGGGGUGAUCCGGUGAAUAAUUCGGACUGCAGCACUGCUUGGUCUCCAGGCUUUGCAGCGGAAAGUUUAGUGAACCUUAUCACUUAGAGGAAGGAGAAGUCGUAACA
rnacentral:rRNA from 1 species